CUCAUCACACUCCUGGAUUAACUUUUAUAUAAAUUACUAAAACUCUCUCUCUCUCUCUCAUUCUCUCUCUCUCUCUCUCUCUCUCUCUCUCUCUCUCUCCCCCCCCCCCUUUCUCUCUCUCUCUCUUAUCUCAGAAGAACAAAACAUGUGAUUCUGCUAUUGAAUAUGAAGCUGGCCAAAGAAAAAUGCAGUGCUAUAAUCUUCAUGCCUUCCUUUAAAACCAAAGAAGUUUGUAUUUUGUGGCCAAUAAGGAACUGGAGCUAACACUCUCACCGACUUCCCUGGGAAUCAUCUCCUCCCCCCAGGGUUCUGUGUUCUCAUAAAUACUUGCCUCUGCAGCAAGAGCCAGAGAAGAGAAGUGCGCACAGCACCUCACCCUCCAGCGGACACUGGUAACUGGAGGCAUACCGUCGGCGGUAACAGGACCUCAGACAGACUCGGCUAGAGGUGUUACCGUACAGCGGUCUGAACUUUGGGAAGGCAAAUCCCACAGAAUGCAUCCACACUGCCACCAGACUUCUGCUGCAGAGAAGGAAGCUGCAGGAUGCAUAUAGUUUGCUUCACACCCACAAAAGGAGACUGCCGUUCCUUUAGUCUCUGCUCUUCCUUCACUCGUGCUUUGCUCUCUCCUGCUAGCGCUCAGUGGGUUGGCCAGCUUGUUGGGAGGCCUGACUUUGGCAGCCACCCAAACCCAGUCCUCCCAGCAGCAAAGCAGCCCUGGCUCCCCUGUCCCGCGAGCAGUGUGCGAGGUACUGCGAGGGUGCCAGCAGGGCCCGCACGGAGCGGGGAGAGGCGACCGGGGGUGUUGCGUGCUGCUUGCAGAACUCGUGCACAGAAGCUCUGCAACGGAGUUUUCUUCCCCGUUGGGCUCAGUCCUGCAGAGAAACAUCCCAGGCCUCUGUCGGCACCACGGAGGGUGGCAGAAGCCAUGAGGUCCUCGCUGCUGCUGUUGGCACCAAGAAGGGAAAACGCUGCCAGAAGACUGUCUUGUGUGAACAGCGGCAAUGGCCUAAGGAGAUGAUAGCAAAAGAUGAUGUUGACACAUGCUGAUUUUAAAUGAAUUAAAGA
rnacentral:lncRNA from 1 species